CAAGGAGUCUAACAUGUGCGCAAAGUCGUUAGGUGUAUUAAAACCUAUAGGCGAAAACGAAAAGUAAAAGAAAAGCUUUGCUUUAUAAGGAAGGAUGGUUCUAUUCAGAAUACUUGAAUAAACCCGCACUUCUGGGGCGUCUAUUACUCUUUUUGAGUAAAGGGGCACCUAGAGCGUACACGUUGGGACCCGAAAGAUGGUGAACUAUGCAAGACCAGGAUGAAGCCAGGGGAAACCCUGGUGGAGGUCCGUAGCGAUUCUGACGUGCAAAUCGAUCGUCAGAGUUUUGUAUAGGGGCGAAAGACUUAUCGAAUUAUCUAGUAGCUGGUUCCCUCCGAAGUUUCUCUCAGGAUAGCUGGUGCCAAUGAUGAGAAGAGUCUCAUCCGGUAAAGCGAAUGAUUAGAGGCCUUGGGGCCGAAACGACCUCAACCUAUUCUCAAACUUUAAAUGGAUGAGAGCCUUGGCUUGCUUAAAAAGUGAAGCCGGGGAUUUGGAUCUAGGUACCAAGUGGGCCAAUUUUGGUAAG
rnacentral:rRNA from 1 species